GACAGAGGGUGCAAACGUUGUUCGGAAUUACUGGGCGUAAAGCGUGUGUAGGCGGUUCUCUAAGUCGGAUGUGAGAUCCCUGGGCUCAACCCAGGAAGUGCACUCGAAACUGGAGGGCUAGAGUAUCGGAGAGGUUGGUGGAAUUCUCGGUGUAGAGGUGAAAUUCGUAGAUAUCGAGAGGAACACCGGUGGCGAAGGCGGCCAACUGGACGAAUACUGACGCUGAGACACGAAAGCGUGGGGAGCAAACAGG
rnacentral:rRNA from 1 species